GGUGAGACCCCGAAGCCAGACUGGUUUUUCUCUUCGCUCCGGUCCCGCACCAGAUUUAUGGCUUUGUAUCUUCAGGGAAAAUUCCAACCAGUGAGAUCCCUACGUCAAAAGCACACACCCCUCUCCCAGACCUGUCUUUCCACUCAUCCUGCUUCUGGACCUUUGCCCAAGAUGCUGCCUUGGUCUGAAACAUAUGCUGUCUCGUGUCUGCCUGGCCAGAUGACAUCUUUCUGUCCAGGUGGAGCUUCCUUUUCAAUUCCUCCAUGGA